rnacentral:tRNA from 1 species
GCCUUCGUGGUGUAACGGUUAACACACUCGGUGCGUGUUCGAGAGGUCCAGGUUCGAGUCCCGGCGGAGGAC